GGGGGUAUAGCUCAGGUGGUAGAGCAUCGGCCUUUUAAGCCGCUGGUCCUAGGUUCGAGUCCUAGUGCCCCCACCA
rnacentral:tRNA from 1 species